rnacentral:rRNA from 1 species
GACGAACGCUGGCGGCGUGCCUAAUACAUGCAAGUUGAGCGCUGAAGGUUGGUACUUGUACCAACUGGAUGAGCAGCGAACGGGUGAGUAACGCGUGGGGAAUCUGCCUUUGGGCGGGGGACAACAUUUGGAAACGAAUGCUAAUACCGCAUAAGAACUUUGAACACAAGUUUUAAGUUUGAAAGAUGCAAUUGCAUCACUCAAAGAUGAUCCCGCGUUGUAUUAGCUAGUUGGUGAGGUAAAGGCUCACCAAGGCGAUGAUACAUAGCCGACCUGAGAGGGUGAUCGGCCACAUUGGGACUGAGACACGGCCCAAACUCCUACGGGAGGCAGCAGUAGGGAAUCUUCGGCAAUGGACGAAAGUCUGACCGAGCAACGCCGCGUGAGUGAAGAAGGUUUUCGGAUCGUAAAACUCUGUUGGUAGAGAAGAACGUUGGUGAGAGUGGAAAGCUCACCAAGUGACGGUAACUACCCAGAAAGGGACGGCUAACUACGUGCCAGCCGCCGCGGUAA